rnacentral:rRNA from 1 species
CCUACGGGAGGCAGCAGUGAGGAAUAUUGGUCAAUGGACGCAAGUCUGAACCAGCCAUGCCGCGUGCAGGAAGACGGCUCUAUGAGUUGUAAACUUCUUUUGUACGAGAAAAAACGCAGAUACGUGUGUCUGUCUGAAUGUACCGUAUGAAUAAGGAUCGGCUAACUCCGUGCCAGCAGCCGCGGUAAUACGGAGGAUUCAAGCGUUAUCCGGAUUUAUUGGGUUUAAAGGGUGCGUAGGCGGUAUGUUAAGUUAGGGGUGAAAUGUCGCGGCUCAACCGUGGAAUUGCCUUUGAUACUGUUAGGCUUGAGUGCAGUUGCGGUAGGCGGAAUGUAUGGUGUAGCGGUGAAAUGCUUAGAGAUCAUACAGAACACCGAUUGCGAAGGCAGCUUACCAAACUACUACUGACGUUGAGGCACGAAAGCGUGGGUAGCAAACAGGAUUAGAUACCCGAGUAGUC